CCUCCAGCCUUUUCAUCCAUUUGCUGCAAGGGUAAAUUUUCUGCUGGGGGUGUAAAGUUUAGUACUUGACAAACUGGGGGAACAAACAUAACAGCUUUAAUUUCACUGCAGAGAUUGCAUAUUCUGUAAUGAAACAAUAAUUGAACUGUGCAAAGGUAAUGAUAUGUACAACACACCGACACCUUUCAUCCAGAAAGUGCCCUAAUGAAAAACAGAUUAUGGAUAAAAGGAUUCCUCAUCUUAAAUAGAAGCAAUAGUUUCCAGGACAAAAAAAAGCGUCACAAAUAACAUCACUUACUCGUACUCAAACGCUUGGCUCUGUGAAGUGGAGUGUGUCCUGGGGAGAAACCUGGUUCUGAGAAAGAGGAAACUGUAACAUAGGCAAACAGCAUGUGCUAGCUAACACUUGCUAGCCACUCUAGCAGCAUACUUGUUCAGGCAAACAAAAUUACUUAAACAACCUAUACACAUCGUUAUUUUUGUUAAAAAAUAUCAAAAGUUCAACUUAGUCUUUCUAAGUGUAAAGCUCUGGCUACCUACUGUAGCUAGUUACAUUUCUACAUGUACUAGCAACAUUGCUUAACCUCAGUGUUUACUGUAACAUAGGCAAACAGCAUGUGCGUAAACAAGGCUACUUUAGCUUGACUAGUUAGGCAAGACCAAAGAUGACUCCAUAUUUUAAAUACAUACACAAAAAACAAUGUAAACAUAAUAUUGCGUUACACAAAAAGCAAACAUAUACUUACUUAAACGCUGGUAGUCGAUGUCGAUGAAUUUGCUAACUUACAACUGAAGGCUGUAGUAACUCACGAUUGAUCGAACUGAAGCGAAUGUACUCUAGUUUUAUUGUUACGGGAGGGGCCAGCCUCAGUGACUCCAAUGCGUCAUCAACAGUAGAGACGGAUCCAGGAGCAUAAUUGUGCCUAAAUCAAAUAAAUGUAAACAAUUUCCCCCUAAGUGCAUAAAAUAAUUCGAUAUAUUUUACAUAUAUUACUGUAUAAUCGCUUCAGAGUUUCAAAGUCAUUUAAAUGUAAUUUCCUAAACCUUACCUCUCAUGGAAUCAUGUUAUAAACCCUAUUAAUCUGUUAUAAUCUGUAAUAAACCCUAUGCUUUGGAGAAAAAAAACUAUUUGAUAUAAUUCACAUAUUAAAUAUUAGGAUUUUAUAAUCGCUUCAAAUGUGAAAAGUAGUAAAAAUGCCGUCAGUUCCACUUAACUCCCAACAUGCAAAACCAUUGGCCGGUCGAUUUUGAGAGUAGCCUUGUAUUUAAAAGUGUCUUGCCGCCGGACGACAGCGGUCCUUUAGACCGAGGCAACCGCCAAAGAAAAUGAAGCAGUCGGACCGCCGGCUGUUUCCUGGCGGCAUCUUGCAAGAAAUGGGAGUGACGUAUUCGGCGGCAAACGUUUCAUCCCCGCCAGCAGGACGCGGCGGCAAAAAGAAGCCAUGCGGAUAUUUUUUGCUAUCUGGAGGCUGUACGGAAGAACCAAGCUGCUAGCAGCGCAUCGGACAACGAGAUUAACCAGCACGCCAUCCGCUGGUUCAACCUGGCCUCUGAGCGUGGAGGUGGCCGCAAAGAACGUGCCAUGGCCAGAGAGGCCAUUCAUUAACCGUGGUAAGAGACUUGCUUGCUGGCGGGGCUGUGGUCCGCUGGCAGAACACCGGGUGCUUUCUGAUCAGGUGCCGUCGGGAUGUUGCCGAGGCGACAUACAUUUUGUUUUACGGUGGACGGACUGCAACAUUACUGAGUUGUUGUUUUCUUUUAGCUUGAAAUAAUCCCAUACUUUAGACCCUUUAUUCUUCGCCCCUCCCUAUUUUCUCUCUCUUCCUCCACUUUGCAAACAGCGCCAUCAUAAUUACGUUGUGUUCACAGCAUAAGCGCGAUGUGCGACAGUAAUAAAUGUCCAUGCAAAACAGUGUUCUAUAUAGUUAUAUGGAUUAAACGAAGCUUUGCAUGGAUGCAAUUUAGUAUUCAAUUCAAUACUAAAUUGAAUUGUUCGAGCCCUUGUUAAGUGAAUGCCAAAUUAAUCAGAGCACAUAGGUGACUAGGUGCUGACAAGCAAUGUAGCAUUUAAAAAC
ensembl:lncRNA